UCUUUCUUUUUCUGACUUAGUUUUUCCUUGUGGCUGGCCAGAUUGGAGCAGUCUUGAGCAUAACCAGCCGAAACUGAAAACAUAAUCUAGAACUCGACUGAGGAAAGAAAACUCCGAAUGACCCGUCCUUGUUUUUUCUUGUCCUUUUUUUUGUAUCAUCUGUCUGGAUGUUUUGCAUUC